rnacentral:sRNA from 1 species
UUUUAAAAACAGAUAUACCUACCUUUUAAAAAAGUCAUUGCUCCCUAGAUCUGUUUCAUACUAUUUAAAAACCCCAAAAUGAAAUCAGCACUGUUUCCAUAGGAGCCCAUUUGUGAGUAACAAACUUGGAUAAGUUACUUUUUUCUGACCUCCCUCACUCCAUUUGUUUUGGAUUUUGUUAUAUGUUGGUUUUGUUUUGUUGUUCUUGGCAUUUUCUAGGAGAAGCAACAGUUUCAGCGCCAUCUGGCCCGCCCACCACCCCAGUACCAAGACCCGACACAAGGCAGCUUCCCACAGCAGGUUGGACAGUUCACAGGGUCCUCUGCUGCCGUGCCCGGCAUGAACACCUUGGGUCCAUCCAACUCCAGCUGUCCUCGAGUGUUCCCUCAGGCUGGGAAUCUGAUGCCAAUGGGCCCUGGACAUGCUUCAGUUUCCUCUCUCCCCACAAACUCAGGCCAACAGGACCGGGGUGUGGCUCAGUUCCCUGGCUCCCAAAACAUGCCUCAGAGCAGCCUCUAUGGCAUGGCUUCUGGCAUAACCCAGAUAGUUGCCCAGCCCCCACCACAGGCCACCAAUGGACAUGCCCACAUUCCACGGCAGACCAGCGUGGGCCAGAACACCUCCGUCUCAGCUGCCUAUGGGCAGAACUCUCUGGGAAGCUCUGGCCUCUCCCAGCAGCACAAUAAGGGGACCCUGAACCCUGGUUUAACAAAGCCACCGGUCCCAAGGGUGUCACCGGCCAUGGGAGGCCAGAAUUCCUCCUGGCAGCAUCAGGGAAUGCCGAACCUCAGUGGCCAGACCCCAGGGAACAGCAACGUGAGUCCCUUCACUGCAGCCUCCAGUUUCCACAUGCAGCAGCAGGCCCACCUGAAAAUGUCUAGCCCUCAAUU